CCGGCCUGCAGGGUCGCGCGUGCGCAUGGGGGCCGCGGGCGAGUGGUCUGCCUGGGGGGCUAGCAGAGGGCCUGGCGACGAAGCGCCGCCCCGCCGACCAGCCAGAACCUGGCCCAGAGUGCUGGCCCAGGCACCGAGGUGCAGCAGGACGGCCACGGUUUCUGCCGUCGAGGGGCUGACGGUCUGCGGGGGCAGACGUUGCACAGCAACAACGGCAGCAGCAACACCACGUCCCAGUUCGCGAAGUACUCCGUGAAGAGCACUUUAACUGUUGGAGACCAGUGCAGUCCUUUGCUAGCAGGCUGGAGAACACGCCAUUGCCUUGGACCUGCGAAGGCUGGCCUUGUGUUAAUCAUCACCAACAGGAUGUAGUGGACAUGAUGCUGUGUGACUUCAGAGCUAAGGCCUCGAAGGCUUUGCAGCUUCUCCGUCUCGGAAUCCAGGAACCCUGUGAGGAAGCCUGAGCUAGCUACCUGGAGAGGUGACAUGAAGGAGAACUUAAAUGCCACAGCUCAGCCCUACCCAACUGCCCUAUGUGUGGCUAUCCAGGACUGGCCAGUCCCAUGCUGACCUUGCAGCUAAACACAAAGACAAAGUGCACUCAACCAGCGUGCUGUGAGCAGAGGUGAGCCAUCCCAGCUGAGCCCUGCCCAAAGUGCCAACCUGUA